rnacentral:pre_miRNA from 1 species
AGUGGCAUAGCUGGUUCAUAUGGUGGUUCUAUUUCUAGUUUUUUGAGGCAUCUCCAAACUCUUUACCAGAGUGGUUAUCCUAUUCUGCAGUCCCACCAGCAAU